GCACGGGUCAGUCGCUCUACACCACAGCACCACUUCGCCACCAAUGAGUGGGCCUCCAUGCGAGACCUGUGUGCCAUGUUGCGCUGUUUCGAGGACUCCACCAACAUGGCCAGUGCGAUGAUGGAAGAGGAUGUGGCAUAGGAGGAAGAGGAGGAGGAAGAGGGGUCAUUUCCAUGGUUAUCAGGCCAGUCAUUCACAAGUGGCGCGGAGGGUGGGUUCCUGCACC